ACUGAGCAAGGUCUCUGAAAGGGAUGCCCCAAUAGACCCCAGAGUGAAAAACCCAAGAGUAGAAGCGAGUUGGAGAGUUUUUGCAGUAUACCUCUGGACAACCUGUGCACAGGAUAACCUCCCAUCCACCUCUCUCUCUCUCUGUCUCUCCUACCCCCAGGCCUGGCCCCAGCCCAGACGGUGUGUUUGUGAGUAUGAAAGAAGAAGGUUGCAGCCAUUCUGAAGGAGAAAUGGGCCCUUUUCCAAAGGAAUUUCUGUAAAUAAUCCAGGCAAGAGGUUAUUUAAGUGGAAUCAUUUGACUAUGAGAAAUACUAAGGUUUUAAUAUAGAUGACAGAAGCUGCGCCAAGCUGUGAAAUGUUCUUGGAGUGCUGCUGGGUGCACUUUAUACCUGGAUCACCUUUGGCGCUCUCCGGACAGUCGCCUGGUUGCGCCUCAGGUGCUCUUGCCCUAUUUCGAGCAAAGAAGGGGAUGAUUGCUGCAGUUAAUGAGAUUGUGUUGGCCACACACAGUGCUGAUCUGCCUUUCCUGGAGACUCACUGAGGGAAGAGGGUCAGCAAUAUAAUAUUGGAAUAAUACUGCCAGCAACAUAAUAUUGGAAAAGCAGUUAAAGCUAGAAAAGCAGCACACCCCUUGGGGACCUUUUGUCUUUUUAUAAACAGGUGAAAGAAGCACUACCCAAGGAUCCUGAGCAACCCUGCCACUUGCUGGAACCAGGAGACUGGGUCUACAUAAAGGUCCAUCAGCAAAAGACCGCCCUGACCCCACCCUGGAAAGGCCCUUACCAAGUUCUGCUAACUACCAACAUAACUGUGAAGUGCCAAGGACUGUCUGGACCCAUGCUUUUUACUGCAAGAAGGCCCCCUCCACCUCGAGAUGACCCUACAACUGCUGAUCAGCCUGUCCCUCCUUUUGAUACUUCUUUUCCCACUUCUGGACAGCAGGAGAAAAGGACAAGGUGAAGUGCUGGUAACCUCUCCCUUGUCCACUAACAGAACCACCAUACAUUCACCAUCUGCUGGAGGAACCCAGUUAUUACAGGGUGACGUGCUGGUAACCUCUCCCCUGUAUGAUGCUGAACCACGACUGUUCCAGGAAAGAAGAAGAAGGUAUGUUCGUUCCACUGAAAUUGCCAAAGUCCAGGGAUUCUUGACUAUAAAACACAUUAAAAACUGGCCCUGGUGGAAGAGACGGAGUAUCGUAACCUGUCAGGGAGGAACUUGUGGGAACUGCGCUUGGGACUGUGGUAUUGAGUAGUGGUUUGGGUUUAUUCCGGGGACUGGGCUCUGUGCUUUCAGACAAGUACCUUCAGCAUGUAUAGCUCUCCCUAACUGGCAUUCAGAUGACUAAUACCAAAGGCGCCUUGCUGCCACGACCACUGCCCCCACCAUUAUCCUCACUACCACUACAACCCCUAUAACACAUCCUAAUACAGACACUAUACCAUAUAUUCUAAUGAAUCCCAAUGGCCAAGGCCUUUACAUCUUAGUGAUCCCUAUGGAAUGGUGCCAAUAGUGCAGGAGCAAUUUGGAACAUUUAUGAAGGCCAACAGCACGGAGAGAAAUUAGGCCAAUUGGAAAAGGCCGCAGGCCUUAUUACUGGAGCACAGUUAACCCAAGUGCAGGCUGGAGUUGGUGAAUUACAUGUUAUUUCUGCCCUUAGCUCAAUGACCCAGAAGCUGUUGACAGAGAUGGUACUGAAUAUCACUGAGGCAGGAAAGGAAUUGCAGGGGGAUCUGGCAUGUUUAGAAAAAAGAGAUUUUCUGAAUGAUCAGCUCAUGGCCAUUUGGAGUGAUCUUGAACAUCAGGCUUGGCCUACUGCCCUUACCAGUGCUUCAGGAAUGCCAUCUGAUCUGUGGCCAUGGAGACAUACUUGGAGAUUUUCUGGGUGGCAGUGCAGAUGUUCGUGGUUCUCCUUUCAAGCAUACAGGCUGGUAUAUGGGCUCCUACAUGCCGAAUCCUGCUGGGUCCGUGGGGAGGAUGCAUGUGGGAUUGGAGGGAUAGCUCAAUGGGGGUGGAGGGAUAGCUCAGUGGUUUGAGCAUUGGCCUGCUUAACCCAGGGUUGUGAGUUCA